rnacentral:rRNA from 1 species
UGCGUAGGCGGAUGGACAAGUUAGAUGUAAAAUCUCUGGGCUCAACCUAGAGUUUGCAUUUAAGACUGUUUGUCUUGAGUAUAGGAGAGGGCAGAGGAAUUUCCGGUGUAGCGGUGAAAUGCGUAGAUAUCGGAAAGAACAUCAGUGGUGAAGACGUCUGCCUGGCCUAUAACUGACGCUGAGGCACGAAAGCGUGGGUAGCGAACA